UAUAAAGUGAGUUUCAGGACAGCCAGGGC
rnacentral:piRNA from 1 species